GGCGCGGUACCCAAGUGGCAAGGGAGAGGUCUGCAAAACCUCGAUUCGCCGGUUCGAAUCCGGCCCGCGCCU
rnacentral:tRNA from 2 species